AUUGAACGCUGGCGGAAUGCUUUACACAUGCAAGUCGAACGGCAGCACGGACUUCGGUCUGGUGGCGAGUGGCGAACGGGUGAGUAACAUAUCGGAACGUAUCCAAUAAUGGGGGAUAACUAAUCGAAAGGUUGGCUAAUACCGCAUACGCCCUACGGCGGAAAGCUAGGGACUUUCGGGCCUGGCGCUAAUGGAGCGGCCGAUAUCUGAUUAGCUAGUUGGUGGGGUGAAGGCCCACCAAGGCGACGAUCAGUAGGUGGUCUGAGAGGACGAACAGCCACGCUGGAACGGAGACACGGUCCAGACUACUACGGGAGGCAGCAGUGGGGAAUUUUGGACAAUGGGCGCAAGCCUGAUCCAGCCAUUCCGCGUGAGUGAAGAAGGCCUUCGGGUUGUAAAGCUCUUUCGCAAGGGAAGAAAACUUAGCCUCUAACAUAGGCUGAGGUUGACGGUACCCUGAUAAGAAGCACCGGCUAACUACGUGCCAGCCGCCGCCGUAA
rnacentral:rRNA from 1 species